CUCGGCAAACAUAAGCCUCGCCUGUUUACCAAAAACAUCGCCUCUUGUACUUCAAUAAUAAGAGGUCCCGCCUGCCCAGUGACUAUAUGUUAAACGGCCGCGGUAUUUUAACCGUGCAAAGGUAGCGUAAUCACUUGUCUUUUAAAUGAAGACCCGUAUGAAUGGCAUCACGAGGGCUUUACUGUCUCCUUUUUCCAGUCAAUGAAAUUGAUCUCCCCGUGCAGAAGCGGGGAUAACAACAUAAGACGAGAAGACCCUGUGAAGCUUAAAGACGACAGGCAGACCAAACUAAGUACCUCCAAUAAAAGAACCAAAGCACCGGACCCUGCCCUAAUGUCUUCGGUUGGGGCGACCACGGAGAAACAAAAAACCCCCAUGUGGACUAGAAGCACCAUUACUUCCUUUUUCUCUCCUACAACCUAGAGUUACCUCUCAAAGUAACAGAACUUUUGACCAAACAUGAUCCGGCCACGCCGAUUAACGAACCAAGUUACUCCAGGGAUAACAGCGCUAUCCCCUUUUAGAGCCCAUAUCGACAAGGGGGUUUACGACCUCGAUGUUGGAUCAGGACAUCCUAAUGGUGCAGCCGCUAUUAAGGGUUCGUUUGUUCAACGAUA
rnacentral:rRNA from 1 species